UUAAGCGACUAAGCGUACACGGUGGAUGCCCUGGCAGUCAGAGGCGAUGAAGGACGUGCUAAUCUGCGAAAAGCGUCGGUAAAGGUGAUAUGAACCGUUAUAACCGGCGAUGUCCGAAUGGGGAAACCCAGUGUGAUUCGUCACACUAUCGUUAACUGAAUACAUAGGUUAACGAGGCGAACCGGGGGAACUGAAACAUCUAAGUACCCCGAGGAAAAGAAAUCAACCGAGAUUCCCCCAGUAGCGGCGAGCGAACGGGGAGCAGCCCAGAGUCUGAAUCAGCUUGUGUGUUAGUGGAACGGUCUGGAAAGUCCGACGGUACAGGGUGAUAGUCCCGUACACCAAAAUGCACAGGUUGUGAACUCGAAGAGUAGGGCGGGACACGUGGUAUCCUGUCUGAAUAUGGGGGGACCAUCCUCCAAGGCUAAAUACUCCUGACUGACCGAUAGUGAACCAGUACCGUGAGGGAAAGGCGAAAAGAACCCCGGCGAGGGGAGUGAAAAAGAACCUGAAACCGUGUACGUACAAGCAGUGGGAGCACCUUCGGGUUGACUGCGUACCUUUUGUAUAAUGGGUCAGCGACUUAUAUUCUGUAGCAAGGUUAACCGUAUAGGGAGCCGCAGGGAAACCGAGUCUUAACUGGGCGUUAAGUUGCAGGGUAUAGACCCGAAACCCGGUGAUCUAGCCAUGGGCAGGUUGAAGGUUUGGGUAACACUAACUGGAGGACCGAACCGACUAAUGUUGAAAAAUUAGCGGAUGACUUGUGGCUGGGGGGUGAAAGCCAAUCAAACCGGGAGAUAGCUGGUUCUCCCGAAAGCUAUUUAGGUAGCGCCUCGUGAACUCAUCUUCGGGGGUAGAGCACUGUUUCGGCUAGGGGUCAUCCCGACUUACCAACCCGAUGCAAACUACGAAUACCGAAGAAUGUUAUCACGGAGACACACGGCGGGUGCUAACGUCCGUCGUGAAGAGGGAAACAACCCAGACCGCCAGCUAAGGUCCCAAAGUCAUGGUUAAGUGGGAAACGAUGUGGGAAGGCACAGACAGCCAGGAUGUUGGCUUAGAAGCAGCCAUCAUUUAAAGAAAGCGUAAUAGCUCACUGGUCGAGUCGGCCUGCGCGGAAGAUGUAACGGGGCUAAACCAUGCACCGAAGCUGCGGCAGCGACACUAUGUUUGUUGGGUAGGGGAGCGUUCUGUAAGCCUGCGAAGGUGGCCUGUGAGGGUUGCUGAGGUAUCAGAAGUGCGAAUGCUGACAUAAGUAACGAUAAAGCGGGUGAAAAGCCCGCUCGCCGGAAGACCAAGGGUUCCUGUCCAACGUUAAUCGGGGCAGGGUGAGUCGACCCCUAAGGCGAGGCCGAAAGGCGUAGUCGAUGGGAAACAGGUUAAUAUUCCUGUACUUGGUGUUACUGCGAAGGGGGACGGAGAAGGCUAUGUUAGCCGGGCGACGGUUGUCCCGGUUUAAGCAUGUAGGCUGGUUGUCCAGGCAAAUCCGGAUAAUCAAGGCUGAGGUGUGAUGACGAGGCACUACGGUGCUGAAGUAACAAAUGCCCUGCUUCCAGGAAAAGCCUCUAAGCAUCAGGUAACAUUAAAUCGUACCCCAAACCGACACAGGUGGUCAGGUAGAGAAUACCAAGGCGCUUGAGAGAACUCGGGUGAAGGAACUAGGCAAAAUGGUGCCGUAACUUCGGGAGAAGGCACGCUGGUGUGUAGGUGAAGUCCCUGCGGAUGGAGCUGAGACCAGUCGAAGAUACCAGCUGGCUGCAACUGUUUAUUAAAAACACAGCACUGUGCAAACACGAAAGUGGACGUAUACGGUGUGACGCCUGCCCGGUGCCGGAAGGUUAAUUGAUGGGGUUAUCCGUAAGGAGAAGCUCUUGAUCGAAGCCCCGGUAAACGGCGGCCGUAACUAUAACGGUCCUAAGGUAGCGAAAUUCCUUGUCGGGUAAGUUCCGACCUGCACGAAUGGCGUAAUGAUGGCCAGGCUGUCUCCACCCGAGACUCAGUGAAAUUGAACUCGCUGUGAAGAUGCAGUGUACCCGCGGCAAGACGGAAAGACCCCGUGAACCUUUACUAUAGCUUGACACUGAACAUUGAGCCUUGAUGUGUAGGAUAGGUGGGAGGCUUUGAAGCGUGGACGCCAGUCUGCGUGGAGCCAACCUUGAAAUACCACCCUUUAAUGUUUGAUGUUCUAACGUUGGCCCCUGACCGGGGUUGCGGACAGUGUCUGGUGGGUAGUUUGACUGGGGCGGUCUCCUCCCAAAGCGUAACGGAGGAGCACGAAGGUUAGCUAAUCCUGGUCGGACAUCAGGAGGUUAGUGCAAUGGCAUAAGCUAGCUUGACUGCGAGCGUGACGGCGCGAGCAGGUGCGAAAGCAGGUCAUAGUGAUCCGGUGGUUCUGAAUGGAAGGGCCAUCGCUCAACGGAUAAAAGGUACUCCGGGGAUAACAGGCUGAUACCGCCCAAGAGUUCAUAUCGACGGCGGUGUUUGGCACCUCGAUGUCGGCUCAUCACAUCCUGGGGCUGAAGUAGGUCCCAAGGGUAUGGCUGUUCGCCAUUUAAAGUGGUACGCGAGCUGGGUUUAGAACGUCGUGAGACAGUUCGGUCCCUAUCUGCCGUGGGCGCUGGAGAAUUGAGGGGGGCUGCUCCUAGUACGAGAGGACCGGAGUGGACGCAUCACUGGUGUUCGGGUUGUCAUGCCAAUGGCACUGCCCGGUAGCUAAAUGCGGAAGAGAUAAGUGCUGAAAGCAUCUAAGCACGAAACUUGCCCCGAGAUGAGUUCUCCCUGAGACUUUAAGUCUCCUGAAGGAACGUUAAAGACGAUGACGUUGAUAGGCCGGGUGUGUAAGCGCAGCGAUGCGUUGAGCUAACCGGUACUAAUGAACCGUGAGGCUUAACCUU
rnacentral:rRNA from 1 species